rfam:Oryza glumipatula chromosome 1, whole genome shotgun sequence.
UAUAAGUGCAGUUGUGGUUUUUCAUGUCCAACGUUUGACCGUAUGUUUUAUUUGAAAAAAAUAUGAUUAGUAUUUUUAUUGUUAUUAGAUGAUAAAACAUGUGUGACUAAUUUUUUUUAAAAAAAUUCAUAAAAUUUUAAAAUAAAAUGGACGGUCAAACUUUGGAUACAGAAGCACACAACUGCACUUAUA